CCCUUAGGUCAGGGAUACCCUCGGGAAACUGAGGCUAAUACCUGAUAGGAGAUUUUUUCUGGAAUGAAUUUUCUCUCAAAUUCGCGCCUAAGGAUGAGACUGCGGCUGAUUAGGUAGUUGUUGAGGUAAUGGCCCAACAAGCCAAUGAUCAGUAAGGGCUCUUUGCGGAGUCGCCCUGAGAAGGAAUCUGAGACACUAUUCCUAGCUCUACGGAGUGCAGCAGUUACGAAUCUUUUGCAAUGCGCGUAAGCGUGACAAAGCGAACCAAAGUGUUUUCCGCACAGGAAAACUUUUUACUGCUUUAAAAAGGCAGCAGAAUAAGGACUGGGCAAGACCGGUGCCAGCCGCCGCGGUAAUCCCGGCAGUCCAAGUCGCAGCCAGUAUUAUUGGGUCUAAAACAUCCGUAGCUUGUCUGUUAAGUUUUUUGUGAAAUCUCGUAUCUUAAGCACGAGGCGAGCAAGAAAUACUGACAGACUAGAGACCGGAAGAUGUAAGGAGUAUGUCUGAGGUAGUGGUAAAAUACGUUAAUCUUGGGCAGACUAACAAUUGGCGAAGGCACCUUACAAGCACGGAUCUGACAGUGAGGGAUGAAGGCUAGGGGCGCAAAAGGGAUUAGAUACCCCUGUAGUCCUAGCAGUAAACGCUGUUCACUAAACAUCGGUCUCUCCUCGGGAGAAAUCGGUGCUGAAGCGAAGGCGAAGAGUGAACUACCUGGGAAGUAUAGUCGCAAGAUCGAAACUUAAAGGAAUUGGCGGGGGAGCACA
rnacentral:rRNA from 1 species